AGGGAAUCUUCCGCAAUGGACGAAAGUCUGACGGAGCAACGCCGCGUGAGUGAUGAAGGUUUUCGGAUCGUAAACCUCUGUUGUUAGGGAAGAACAAGUGCCGUUCGAAUAGGGCGGCACCUUGACGGUACCUAACCAGAAAGCCACGGCUAACUACGUGCCAGCAGCCGCGGUAAUACGUAGGUGGCAAGCGUUGUCCGGAAUUAUUGGGCGUAAAGCGCGCGCAGGCGGUCUUUUAAGUCUGAUGUGAAAGCCCACGGCUCAACCGUGGAGGGUCAUUGGAAACUGGAAGACUUGAGUGCAGAAGAGGAGAGUGGAAUUCCACGUGUAGCGGUGAAAUGCGUAGAGAUGUGGAGGAACACCAGUGGCGAAGGCGGCUCGCUGGUCUGUAACUGACGCUGAGGCGCGAAAGCGUGGGGAGCAAAC
rnacentral:rRNA from 1 species